rfam:Schistosoma mansoni strain Puerto Rico chromosome 1, complete genome
AUCCAGGUGACGAGUCCCAAAUAGAACGGAACAUACGUACUGGAU